AAUAAACAAUUAUUGUUUUAGCUCGUAUCAUGGCCUCGAAGUUAAAAUUUGGAAACCGUUGCCAACGAGAUAGAGCACAUUCGGCACCCGAACUCCAAAAUCACGCUCGCGCUGGAUGUAAUGCAUAACAAGCGCGCACGACAUUACGUGUGCCUAAAUGUGCUCUAGCUGCGUAAGUUGUUCUCAGCCCACGUAGAACGACAAACCGAGAAGCCACAGUCCAAACUUUCAUUCAUUUCUGGUUAUGCUACACACAUGUAAACUUUCCACUGAAGAAGCUCUUUGCGUUUAGCUGUGUGCCUUUCAUAUCCAUCGUUUUUUUUUC